GAUGAACGCUGGCGGCGUGCUUAACACAUGCAAGUCGAACGAAGCACUUUAUUUGAUUUCCUUCGGGACUGAUUAUUUUGUGACUGAGUGGCGGACGGGUGAGUAACGCGUGGGUAACCUGCCUUGUACAGGGGGAUAACAGUUGGAAACGGCUGCUAAUACCGCAUAAGCGCACGGCAUCGCAUGAUGCAGUGUGAAAAACUCCGGUGGUAUAAGAUGGACCCGCGUUGGAUUAGCUAGUUGGUGAGGUAACGGCCCACCAAGGCGACGAUCCAUAGCCGACCUGAGAGGGUGACCGGCCACAUUGGGACUGAGACACGGCCCAAACUCCUGCGGGAGGCAGCAGUGGGGAAUAUUGCACAAUGGGCGAAAGCCUGAUGCAGCGACGCCGCGUGAGCGAAGAAGUAUUUCGGUAUGUAAAGCUCUAUCAGCAGGGAAGAUAAUGACGGUACCUGACUAAGAAGCACCGGCUAAAUACGUG
rnacentral:rRNA from 1 species